GGGGCAGUCGUCUAGCUUGGUCUAGGACGCCACCCUGGGGCGGUGGUAAUCCUGGGUUCAAAUCCCAGCUGCCCCA
rnacentral:tRNA from 1 species